AUGUGGGAACCCCCCACAUCCCAUGAGGCUCCCAAGCCAGGGCAACAAGUCAGCUUCUCUGCAAGUGACUAUCUGUCCCUGUCCUUAGGCCACCGGCCCUGCUCCUGUCACAUCACCACCCAGGAGCCACCAGCUGCCAACGGCUGCCAGGGCCCCAGCCAUCAUCACGGAGGACUUCGGCAGUAAGAUCGUUCUCUAAAUGUCACUGUCUACCCCCUCACCGUGCAAGUUCUUUAGUCUGUGCUGGUGCCUUAAAAGCUUCUGCUGGCUUUGUGUUGAGCAAGCCUCGUCUCUACUCCAGGUGGAUCUGGUAGUUUGAUCGGCACAAGGCUGCUGCUUUCCCUGUAGACACCGAAAAGUAGACUUUCUCACUCUCCGGGCAAGAGACCACAGUGCAGGAAAAUAAAGAUGUUUUCCACAGUGGGAGCUGCCAGCGGGGGACUGCUGUCCCCAGAACCCCGCAUUCCAUCCUCCAACAAAUACUGACUGGGGGUCUACCGUGUUCCAGGGGCUGCCAACGCUAGCUCCUUAGGGAAUCAAAUCUCUGGUGCCAGGUGAAAACGAACCUGACCUGCAGUCCGGGACCUCGAGAAACCUGACAACAAAGACACCUGUGGCUUGGGGAGCUCCCGGAGCCGCCACAAGAGCAGGUGAGUGUGGCGUCCCUGCCUGUGGCUGGAGAACACAGGCGAGCCGUGGGCCCGUGGGGGCCGAGCUUGGGAGCCAAGCCCCGGCCACAGGGGGUUGUUACUGGGACAUUGUCGCUAGGCCGCGCCACCGGCUUCUUGCGAGCUUGCAGGCCACAGACGCGGCACAGGCCGGAGCUGUUGGCGCAUCAGACCCUGGAUACGAGUAACCCCGAACCCCGAGUCCAGCCCCGGGUCGCGCGCCCACUGGUCAGUGCAGGAGGCCGUGCCGCGGGAAAAUCAGAGCCGAGCGGAUCGCGCUCCCGACGGAGGCGCAAAGGACGCACAUGGCCACGUCCACGGCGCCCACGCAAGGACCGGCUGCUGGUGUGAGGUCACCGUACAAACCGAGGAGCGGCGCCUUCCUUACAUGCGGGGGAUCAAACCCAGGGAACAAGGAGGAGGGAAGAAACGUCGCCCCAGGACUCAUGCAGCUAACUGCAGGUGCAGCUGCCGCCCGGCUUCCAGGGACUCGUUGGGGAAAGGCAAGAAGAAGGAUCCUGCUGUCGAAUCUCCCAGCUGAGGCGUGGAAGUUGGCCCUGAAGGUGACACUGGCUUCUGCAGACCAGAUUCCCUGAGUGUCAGUUGGGGUCCCGACCGGCAUCUCUCUCCAGGUCCCAGGUGACACUGCACGGUGGGUGCAGGGACCAGGGCGCUCAGAGCCUCGGGGCGGA